UGGGCAACCUGCCCUCAGCUCUGGGAUAACUCCGGGAAACCGGGGCUAAUACCGGAUACGACCUUCCUCUGCAUGGGGGUGGGUGGAAAGUUCUUCGGCUGAGGAUGGGCCCGCGGCCUAUCAGCUUGUUGGUGGGGUGAUGGCCUACCAAGGCGACGACGGGUAGCCGGCCUGAGAGGGCGACCGGCCACACUGGGACUGAGACACGGCCCAGACCUCCGUACGGGAGGCA
rnacentral:rRNA from 1 species